rnacentral:rRNA from 1 species
UUAGCAUAUAAGUAAGCGGCGGGCAAUAAACUAAACAGGACCCCCAUGUAAUGGCGAAUGAGCAGGGAUGAGCUCAGCGUGGAAAUUGGGGCCUGAGGCCCUGACUUGUAGGCUGGUGAGGUGUUGCCAACAGAGGCGCAGAUGUAAGUCUUCUCUCUGGAAAAGAGCAUCAAUGAGGGUGAGAAUCCUGCUUGCCAUUUGCAGACCCCUGUGCACGGUGUGCCCACAUCGAGUCACGUUCCUUGGGAUUGGAGCGCAAAGUGGGUGGUAACUUUCAUCUGAAGCUAAAUAUUGGUUGAAGACCGAUAGGAAACAAGUACCAUGAGGGAAAGAUGAAAAGGACUUUGGAAAGAGAGUUAAAAGUGCCUGAAAUUGCUGAAAGGGAAGCGAAUGGAGCCAGUGUGCCCGGGCGAGAUUGUCAUAUGUGAUAAUGAUCGGUUGCUGCUUCAUCGUAAGUGUUCUUGCAAUCAUUGAUCUAUGAGUGUGUGGUGUGUCUUGCCUUGAAUGUCAUCGCGGGCUUCUGUAUUACGACAAUUCAAAGUUCAGGGUAUUAUGUUUGUGAAGGUAUGAAUGUUCUUUGCUAUGCUUGUGCGCAAGCUUCUCUUGACUGUGUGUUUGCUGUGUGGCGCCCCAACACAGCGGGGCCACACACCAUUUUCUACACAGCUGAUGACUAAAUGAUUCUAUUC